GACGGGUGAGUAACACGUGGGUAACCUACCUAUAAGACUGGGAUAACUUCGGGAAACCGGAGCUAAUACCGGAUAACAUUUGGAACCGCAUGGUUCUAAAGUGAAAGAUGGUUUUGCUAUCACUUAUAGAUGGACCCGCGCCGUAUUAGCUAGUUGGUAAGGUAACGGCUUACCAAGGCGACGAUACGUAGCCGACCUGAGAGGGUGAUCGGCCACACUGGAACUGAGACACGGUCCAGACUCCUACGGGAGGCAGCAGUAGGGAAUCUUCCGCAAUGGGCGAAAGCCUGACGGAGCAACGCCGCGUGAGUGAUGAAGGGUUUCGGCUCGUAAAACUCUGUUAUUAGGGAAGAACAAACGUGUAAGUAACUGUGCACGUCUUGACGGUACCUAAUCAGAAAGCCACGGCUAACUACGUGCCAGCAGCCGCGGUAAUACGUAGGUGGCAAGCGUUAUCCGGAAUUAUUGGGCGUAAAGCGCGCGUAGGCGGUUUCUUAAGUCUGAUGUGAAAGCCCACGGCUCAACCGUGGAGGGUCAUUGGAAACUGGGAAACUUGAGUGCAGAAGAGGAAAGUGGAAUUCCAUGUGUAGCGGUGAAAUGCGCAGAGAUAUGGAGGAACACCAGUGGCGAAGGCGACUUUCUGGUCUGUAACUGACGCUGAUGUGCGAAAGCGUGGGGAUCAAACAGGAUUAGAUACCCUGGUAGU
rnacentral:rRNA from 1 species